AUCAAAUAUGACUUUUUUUGGUAUGUAUGAUACGACGUUCGUCUUUGCGAGGUCAUUUCACUAUAAAUCUGAUGAGUAAAUCAAAGUUAUCUCACUAUAAAGUCUGAUGUGGAUCUCAAAUUUAUUGUUCAAGUAAAAACGUCAGGCGUAUAUGCAUGAAGAAAAAUUAAAGCUGGAACGCACCAACUUAAUCUUUGCACACCCAUAAACGAAGAAAGUAUUUCAGUUAUGAACAUUCACUGACAGGAAGCCCCACAUCAACAGAUGCUUGUGCCGAAAUUGCCCAGCUGAGCUUUAUGGAAUUUUUUCAAGUGGAGUGCCGAAUUUACAUAUUUCAAUGUUUGGAAUAGUGCAAUUAUUAUACGUUUGUACAUAAUAAUCCAGUAAAAAUAAUGCUUUUAUUUUUUUCUAAUAUACUCCUACUCUGUUUCUUUCGA